AGGAUUCCCCUAGUAACUGCGAGUGAAGCGGGAAAAGCUCAAAUUUAAAAUCUGGUAGUCUUUGGCUGCCCGAGUUGUAAUCUAGAGAAGCAUUAUCCGCGUUGGACCGUGUACAAGUGUCCUGGAAUGGACCAUCAUAGAGGGUGAGAAUCCCGUCUUUGACACGGACUCCCAAGGCUUUGUGAUGUGCUCUCAAAGAGUCGAGUUGUUUGGGAAUGCAGCUCUAAAUGGGUGGUAAAUUCCAUCUAAAGCUAAAUAUUGGCGAGAGACCGAUAGCGAACAAGUACCGUGAGGGAAAGAUGAAAAGAACUUUGGAAAGAGAGUUAAACAGUACGUGAAAUUGCUGAAAGGGAAACGCUUGAAGUCAGUCGCGUUGGCUGGGGAUCAACCUUGCACUUUUGCUUGGCUUACUUCCCAGUUGACGGGUCAGCAUCAGUUUUGACCGGUGGAUAAAGGUUAAGGGAAUGUGGCACCCUCGGGUGUGUUAUAGCCCUUGGUCAUAUACAUUGGUUGG
rnacentral:rRNA from 1 species